UGCUGUUUCCGAGGGACCACGAACGCACCACAGCGCUAAGAGCGAGGACUCGUUCGCGAGAGAGCCAGAACAUUCUCGCACUUUCCCAGGCGGGUCGAAACGAAAGAACGAUAAAUGAAAACUGGUCCUUGAACCUCUACCUGUGGUCGUAAAGUUGAAUCCUGUGGCAAUCUUUCUCUUUUCUCUCCAAGGCGAGAGAAGGGUUUAGAAGAGAUAACGUUCCUGGCUUUUUUUUAGGACUCAAAGACCAUCAAAAGAUUGGACUACGUAGUCUGUAGACUGGAUGCCACGUGGGACAUCGGUGAAGGACAUCUUGGACUUCAAAGCCACCCGUCCCCUGGAAGGUGG